UACGUAGGCAGCGAGCGUUGUUCGGAGUUACUGGGCGUAAAGAGUGCGUAGGCGGUUUUCUAAGUUUGGUGUGAAAUCUCCCGGCUUAACUGGGAGGGUGCGCCGAAAACUGGAAGGCUUGAGUAUGGGAGAGGUAAGCGGAAUUCCUGGUGUAGCGGUGAAAUGCGUAGAUAUCAGGAGGAACACCUGCGGUGUAGACGGCUUACUGGACCAUAACUGACGCUGAGGCACGAAAGCGUGGGGAGCAAACAGG
rnacentral:rRNA from 1 species